ACACACUCACACCUGUCACACACCUAGACACACACACAUGUCAUACACCUAGACAACACACACACACACACCUACAGAACACAGAGACACACACACAUGUCUGUCAUUCCCCUAGAGCACACACGUCUGUCAGUACGCCCGAAGAAAACAACCAAUCACUGCACACACACACGCCUGUCAUACACCCCACGUCCUUGCUACGCGUACAAAGUAUAAAGUCACACACCACUCUUCCUCAGCCCUCCUCCUCCUCCACCUCAGGUCAGCUCAGAGACAGCAGAGGGACCGCGAAGCCCCGCCCUCAGCCCCUAGACCAAUCAGAAGAGAUCCGCAGUCCGAACACGCCAUAGCCAGACGUGGUCCGGCCUCCCGCCAUAGCGUCCGGACGUUCUUCGUACAGAGACGUCUCACACCGUAUUCUUAGUUGCCAUAGACCUAGACACCCUUUGUUUUGGGGUUUGUCUCGCUGCUAUCGACACCAGAUUCCAGGCUCUCCUAUAGGCCGGAAGUGGACGUGGUGUUCCAGGAAGUGGUCCGGCUGACGCGGGGCUCACAUGCAGUAUCUGACGCGGCCUGAGACACCGUGACGCCAUGGUGAUGACACCCCGCGGUGCCAACGCGGCGAGCAGGGUAGGGAUUCGAACCGUGGACCCUUUGUCAGCCGGGUUGCGGAGAACCGAACAGCUCGGUGUGUGUGUGUGUGUGUGUGUGUGUGUGUGUAGAAGGGCAGGGUGUGUACUGAGCCAUGUAUGUAAGCGAGAGGCAGAUGAAUGUUGCAGAUCGGCGGUCAGAGACAGGCGAGGAGGAUGAGGGUGAUGGAGAGAUACUGAGGAAGCUGAAGAGUGUGUUCAUAUUGUGGCGAGGGCUGUAUGAUGUAAUACUGAUACUAAAGCUGUAUUAUAACUGAUACUAAAGCUGGAUUAAUUCUGAUACUGAGGCAGUAUUUAUAGUAAGGGUGUGUCACAGAGAUGCCAAAUGCGUGUUUUGAGACCUGCAGUUAGUUCUCUUGCCAUCAGAAGAGGCAUCGAGGCCAAAGAACACGGGUAUUGGAAGCGAGCUUCGGAAUGGACCGAGAACGUUCUAGAACGCGUGGUCACUCGGUUGGUUCACAGCAUGCUAAGUUAGCAAGUGUUGCUGCCACAGUGUUGGGCGGGUGGUACUGAAUCCUGUGGAUUUUUUCAGAGCUACGCUCUCUACCUCGUUCACUCUGUGGUUUAACUCCGGUCGCGGUCUUCUCAGUCAGCCAAUAGAAAGCCGGUCCGGGGGAUGACGCGCGCCCUCAUUGGUCCACAACCCUGUCUGUCUCUGGGCAACCUAUUACAUGUCCCCCCCAAAAGCACUUCUCCUGACAACAGGCACAGUCCCUGACACCAUUGGCUUACUUGCACUUCAACAUGAGCCUGUGCACACACCCUCACACACACACCCUCACACACACACACACACACACAACCUGUCUCUGUCACUGCCUCCCAGCAUAGCCCACCAUAGGGGGAAGUGCUGGUGUUGGUUUCUGACCUCUGAAUGUCCUUCAGGAUGGGAGAUGAUGCUGAGGUCACCCCUGCCAUUACUAAAAGACCAAUUGACUGCUUGCGUUGCGUAGACAGAGAGCGACUUUCAAGAAAGAAAUGAUGCGGGAUGUUAGUAGCGGUUGUGUUGGAGUGUACCAUAAGGGAGAUGGGGGGGGGGGGUUGGAAUGAGCUGUUUACAUGGGGUUUUAUCGAGAUCUAUUGGAUCUACUGGUUCAGGCUGCCCUCCUUGAUCGGGGGUAGAUUGGUUCUGUCUAUAUCCCCCUCUCUUUCUAUUUCUUUGUUCACUCUCUCUGAAUUAGACCCCUGAAUCCCUUUCUUUCUUUUGCCCCCCCCCUCCUCCGUUCCGCAUCUCACAACCCACCCUCACCUCCUUUCUGCUCCUCCUCUUCUCCAAGACGACAGGAACAUGCCGUCUCUAAGCCCGGGUGAUGAUGUCACUCCCUCGCCCCCCCCUCUCUUUUACCACAGCUUCAGCCCUUUUCUUUUUAUCGAUCUCCUUUUCCCAUUAAUGAUUUUAGUUAUUCUUUUAAACGAGAGAAUUUUGUUUUGUUUUUUUUUAAGUGGUGAGCAAGAUGGAGCCAAGGAUCGUAUCUCUAAACAUGGGUCUCUCUCUCUAUCUCUCUCUCUCUCUUAAGUCUAAACUGUCUAUCCACUCUGAAUGUACAGGUUCAAUUCCAGUAUCUGUUGGACCCGGCCAAAUUAUGAUGAGGUUCACUCUGAUUGGCCGUGUCAGAAUGACAGCUUGAUCUCAUUGGCUAAUACUGGAUCCGGCAGGGUUGCAUCUCUGUACAGUCUGUUUAUCAGUAUUCCUCUAUCUCUCUUCUCAUUGGUGGUCAUAUUUGUUUUGUUUCCUGGUACAAAGCUUCAGUCCCUAUGUAACCUGUAUUAAACUGUAUAGAUUGUGCAAAAGCUGAAUGUCUGAAAGAUUACAUAAGAGAAAAGCUAUUCGUUACAGAAAAUAAAGUGAUUUAAAAUGUAUAAAAGAAAUUAAGAAACAAACUUUAGGGGACAAAUGUAAUAUUUUGUUUGUAAUUACUCUUUGUUGGCACAGGGCUACUGGAUAAAGAAUCAAAUGUAAUAAAGUAAUUUUAGUA